UACGUAGGGUGCGAGCGUUAAUCGGAAUUACUGGGCGUAAAGCGUGCGCAGGCGGUUGUGCAAGACAGAUGUGAAAUCCCCGGGCUUAACCUGGGAACUGCAUUUGUGACUGCACGACUAGAGUGUGUCAGAGGGGGGUAGAAUUCCACGUGUAGCAGUGAAAUGCGUAGAUAUGUGGAGGAAUACCGAUGGCGAAGGCAGCCCCCUGGGAUAACACUGACGCUCAUGCACGAAAGCGUGGGGAGCAAACAGG
rnacentral:rRNA from 1 species